GUCGUGAGAUGUUGGGUUAAGUCCCGCAACGAGCGCAACCCUUGUCUUCUGUUGCCAUCAGGUAAUGCUGGGCACUCUGGAGAGACUGCCGGUGAUAAACCGGAGGAAGGUGGGGAUGACGUCAGGUCAGCAUGGCCUUUAUGUCUGGGGCUACACACGUGCUACAAUGGCCGGCACAAACCGUCGCAAAACCGCAAGGUGGAGCUAAUCGGAUAAAGUCGGUCUCAGUUCGGAUAGCAGGCUGCAACUCGCCUGCUUGAAGUUGGAAUCGCUAGUAAUCGCGGAUCAGCACGCCGCGGUGAAUACGUUCCCGGGCCUUGUACACACCGCCCGUCACAUCACGAAAGCCGGUUGUACUAGAAGUCGCUAUAUCAACCCGCAAGGGAGAGAGGCGCCUAAGGUAUGGUCGGUGAUGGGGUGAAGUCGUAACAAGGUAGCUGUAGGAGAACCUGUGGCUGGAUCACCUCCUUUCUAGAGCAUGGUUGCCGAAGCCCGCAAGGGUGGAGGUAGCUGUAAUCGAAGAUCGAUCUGGCACUCAGGCUGUUUGUGCUUGCACGCGCUAUCUAGUUUUGAGAGAACCGGCAACGGUUCCUUGACAGAGAAUAUCUGGGCCUGUAGCUCAGCUGGUUAGAGCACACGCUUGAUAAGCGUGGGGUCACUAGUUCGAAUCUAGUCAGGCCCACCAGCUAAAGGAGCAGUAUUGCGUAGUGCCUAGCGCGAGAAGGUUCGUUGGGAUGUUUCGGCUUCCACUUUCCUUCCACCGCGCGACGAAAAGCACCAUUCAAUUCAAUACGGGGAAUUAGCUCAGCUAGGAGAGCGCCUGGUUUGCAACCAGGAGGUCACCGGUUCGAGCCCGGUAUUCUCCAUAACCUUUAGGCGCGACAUUGAGUCGCGCCAGCUCGCCCGGGGCCCUGAAACCCCAGGCUCGCCAAAGUAGGGCGCGGCAUUGAGCAGCUGCGGACCAAGACGUAGAGCGUCUGGUUGAUUUCUUUGAAGAUUGCGCGAGGAAGCGGAGCGGGGUGAAGGGCCCCCGCGAGCGACGAGCGAAGGGGUCCGGGGGAAAGCGCCCCGCGCCACCGAAAGAAUUCCGCGGGGCGAUAUUUCCUCCGGAGUGAUCUUUGACAACUGAAUAUCCUGCAAACGGUAGUUUUUCCGACCACACACACGCAGUGUGCAUGAAACUGUCGCGGGCUUGAGUGAUUCGUCACUCGGGCCAGCGAAAGUUCGAGUUUCUUAUGGUCAAGCUACUAAGGGUGUACGGUGAAUGCCUUGGCGCCAGAAGUCGAUGAAGGACGCGGUAAGCUGCGAUAAGCCCCGGUGAGGUGCAAACAACCUUUGACCCGGGGAUGU
rnacentral:sRNA from 1 species